GGUAUUAUUAUUUUUUUGGUGUGUGUGUGUGUGUGUGUGUGUGUGUGGAGGAACUGUUCUUAUUUGCAACUCUGAAUAUGUUUAGCCGCAUGGGGCCGUCGCUCAGCAAUUGUGUCUGUAAGUGGCCAAUUUCUACCCGACCCCCAACCCUCCCCCCCCAGCCCCGAUCAAGGGCAGAUGAAAGGUCAUGAUUAAAACAGUGAUUUGCCUUCAGUUUAACGUAACAGUUAGUCACUGUUUUAUGCCAAGAUGUCAAAACUCUAUAUUUUUGUGUGUGUGUGCAUGAAAAGAAAAGGAAAUUAUAAGUUCUUGAAAAAUGUUGGCAAUUUUCCCAAUGGCAGUGUUGAAAUUUAUUUUAAUUAUUGUACUUGUCUCGGUUCUUAGCAGGGGGAAAAGGAGGGGGGAAUAAUUUGGUACAGUAUUAUGUAGCUAAGGAUUAAACAAUUAAUGGUGAGACCCCCGUAUCCUAUUAAUACAUUUGGAUUAAUUAUUUCAACCGUUUGCUUUAAAAGUCAGUGGCUGGGGGUUGCAUCCAUUUUAUUUUGUAGUAAAAACAAAAGCAAGGGUUUUCCCUGAUAGGGAUGAGCCAUAGAUGCUAGGAAUGAGUUUGUAGGGGGCCCAUGAGUCCCACAUCGUAAGAACAUGAGACAGGCCAAUGGCCCAUCUACCCUAUAAUCCUGUUCUAUAUAAACGUGCUCUCCCAUCCUGUGACUUCCAGCAACUGGUAUUCAGAAGUGCUACUCACUCUUACUAUGGAAGCCAGUGCAGAGCCUUCAUGGCUAGUAGUGUAGAGCCUUCAUGGAUAGCCCUCUCCUCCAUGAAUUUGUCCAGUUUUCUUUUAAAGACAUGCACGGUGCUGGCCAUCAUCGCCUCCUGUUGAAGUGAGUUCCAUUGUUUAGCCAGGCGCUGCAUGAAAAAAGUACUUUCUUUUAUCUGUUUUGAGGCUUCCAACAUUUCGCUCCUGUCAGGGAACUGCCAUCAGAACAGGGGCAGGAAACAGAGGGGCAGUUGUCUUACAGGGACCUCGACAUGUUGCGUGUAUAGGUCAGGGGGCUUUAGAAAAAUACUCUGCACAGGUGCUCUGAUAAUUUAGUUUCCGAAAUGUAGAAAUCUACAUUUCUGUAUACUGAGAUGGGGAACCUGCUGCUGUCCAGAUGUUAUAGGACUCCAAUUCCCAUCAGCCUAGCCUAUAUAACCAGUGGUCAGGGAUGAUGGGAGUUGUAGUCCCACAAUAUCUGGCUGGCCAUGGUUUCCCCAUCCCUGCUGUAGCCAAAGAGCAAAUUCAUCCCCCGAGUGUGGAUUUUUAUGUACCCAAAGCGUACACAAGAUGGAGGUGUCGGCAAGCUUGUGGGAGGCCAAAAACAUCAUAGUGAGGACUUAGGAUGAUCAGAGGGCACAGCAAGUUGGGGUGCAGUUAGAGCUGGGGGUAACGGAAAACCAUGGGGGAGAGGAAAUGGAAUGGACUAUUCUGGAAGGAAGCAUGGCUGGCUGGAACCCAGAACAGGAAUGCUGCACACCAUAACAUGUUUAUUUUUGCAGGUUCCACUUGUUCUGUCUGAACCAGGGUUUUUGCAGAAGCCCUGUUCAAGCAACUCAUGCAGAGUAGAGAAGUCAUUCAGCCACCAGGCUGGCGAGUCCUUCUGAGUUCUUCGAUCUUUGCUAUAAUUCUCUGAAAGCAAGCUAAUAAAAGUUCCUAUUGACUUGCACUUGUGUGUGCUUUAAGCAUUUAUUUAUAGUCUACCAUCAGCAGAUUAAAAAUCAAUUAAGGACCACAGAAAGAACCCAACUUACAUAUUUCUUCUCUCUUUCUUUUUUCCUGGUAAAGAUUUCUCCCCCUAAAAGAUUUUACAUUAAAUCUUGCUGCUAAGCAUUAUUGAGGAUAAUGAGCCAAAUGCACUCAAACUCUAUGUGUCUUUAAUGCCACAGAAGCCCAUUAACGUAUUGAAUUGGGAUGUUUUCUUCAAUGGAGUCCUAAUGUUAUCAACAGUCCCACUGAGUGAGGUUGCUCGUAGGGAGAGAGAAGGCUUAUUUGCAAUGAGUGCAUCUAUAUAAGAUGCUGCUAUAAGCUGGACCCUUUGAUUUCAGUGACUACAGAUGCAGGUAAAUGUAAAGUUAAAGGGACCCCUGACCAUUAGGUCCAGUCGUGGAUGACUCUUGGGUUGCAGCGCUCAUCUUGCUUUAUUGGCUGAGGGAGCUGGCAUACAGCUUCCGGGUCAUGUGGCCAGCAUGACUAAGCCGCUUCUGGCGAACCAGAGCAGCACAUGGAAAUGCCGUUUACCUUUCCUCCGGAGCGGUACCUAUUUAUCUACUUGCACUUUGAUGUGCUUUCAAACUGCUAGGUUGGCAGGAGCUGGGACCAAGCAAUGGGAGCUCACCCCGUUGCGGGGAUUCGAACCGCCGACCUUCUGAUCAACAAGCCCUAGGCUCUGUGGUUUAACCCACAGCGCCCCCCCCAUGUCCCUGCCUGCAUUAUAUCUUUAAAGCAGCAUCACACCAGAGUCUCCUGUGAAGAGGGGUUGAUCACUGGGAACUGGAGCUCCAUGAGAGGAACAGAGGUCUUCCAGCAACUCUUGGCACACUUUAAAAAAAAAAGACACUUCCCAGAAGUCUUGGGGAGGGAGCUGUGACUGUUCUAAGAAGUAUCAUGUUGUUUUUUAGUAGUUUAGUUGUGUCCGACUCUUCGUGACCCCAUGGACCAGAGCAUACCAGGCACUCCUGUCUUCCACUGCCUCCUGCAGUUUGGUCAAACUCAUGUUGGUAGCUUUGAGAACACUGUCCAACCAUCUCAUCCUCUGUCGUCCACUUUCCUUGUGCCCUCCAUCUUUCCUAACGUCAGGGUCUUUUCCAGGGAGUCUUUUCUUCUCAUGAGGUGGCCAAAGUAUUGGAGCCUCAGCUUCAGCUCCAAUGAGCACUCAGGGCUGAUUUCCUUCAGAGUGGAUAGGUUUGAUCUUCUUGCAGUCCAUGGGACUCUCAAGAGUCUCCUCCAGCACCAUAAUUCAAAAGCAUCCAUUCUUCGGCGAUCAGCCUUCUUUAUGGUCCAGCUCUCACUUCCAUACAUCACUACUGGGAAAACCAUAGCUUUAACUAUACAGACCUUUGUCGGCAAGGUGAUGUCUCUGCUUUUUAAGAUGCUGUCUAGGUUUGUCAUUGCUUUUCUCCCAAGAAGCAGGUGUCUUUUAAUUUCAUGACUGCUGUCACCAUCUGCAGUGAUCAAGGAGCCCAAGAAAGUAAAAAAAAGUAAAGAAGUAUCAUACUAGUGCUCUAAAUGUGUUGUGUGAAUAUGGCUUUAUACUGCAAAGUUGGAAGGAAAUCCACCAUCUACCACCCAGUGGUUUGAAGAUCUCACUACCCUUUCUUACAGUGGCUUAUAAUUGUCAGUUUCAUAUAGAUACCCUAUUUGGACAGUCUGCACCUUUUAAUUAUGAUUGAUGGAAUAUUCUUAUUCAUAUCAGCUGACAAUGUUUUUUUAAAAAAACAAUGUUUACUUUUUCUCAUUAUAUUCAAUGUUUUUUUAAAUGAAUAAAUUGAUGACAAGUGCAGCUCACAUCCCUUUCAGAGCAUAACAUUUGCCUCCACAAGUGCUAGAAACUUAUUUUGGGGGGAAAGGGAAAGGAAACUGGGCUGUGUGCCAAACGCCAUAUUUUGCCCUCUUUUUUAAAACUUCUGCAUGUGGACCUUCUGCAUCAGAACCUCUUCUUGAUGUACCUUUUCCAUGCGUCUGAUCUGGCCUGGCAGCACCAGAAAGAGAUGCACACAGGAAGUUCCUGGGAAGAAGCAGGGCUGGGAUUUGGUAAUUUCCUCUCCUGUUUUUUUUAAAUUAUUAUUACUGUUAAUUCACGUUCAUGGAACUCCACAUCUGUUUCCUUUUAUAUUCGAGAUAAAUCAUGAUUAUGGAGAAGCCAACUUGUGAAAUGAACUAAAAAAAAGUUUCGAUUUUCCUUUCUUUUGGCUAUCGCCAUCCAAAGAAAUCAUCAUUUGGGCAACUAAUAUUCCUAAGUAUCCUCCGAAAGGACCAGUGAUAUAUUGGAGCUGUUCAGAUGUCUUCACAAAUCAUUUUGCUUUACAGCUUUGAUCCUGAAAUAUGUGAAAUGAUGUCUGAUUUAUGCUGCUGAUCCUUCUUUUAGAUAGUUAAGUGUUCUUGCUUAAUGUUAUUAAAUAAGUUCAAAGCUUCAAAUAGGCCAUCCCAGUCUGAGGCCAUUUGAAAAAUGGUCUUCCCGGCAAGCUAUACUUGGUGUACGUGUUUUAGCCAACCCUGCCAUUUUGUCUAGAGAACUGCAGAGUUUUUGUGGUCCUCUCCUAUUUUUGCAUCAUUUUUCCUUUGCCUUGAUGUACUUUCUUGUUAACAUAGCCCUUUCCCCCCACAUAGCAGCUCUAAUAUUCUUAACGUGCAUAGGCAAGAGGCUAGUUCAGUCUUCCCCAACUUUGUGGCCUCCAGAUGUUGUUGGACUACAACUCCCAUUGUUCUUUUCCAUUGGCCAUACUGGCUGCGGCUGAUGUAAGUUGAAGUCCAAAACAUCUGGAGGGCCACAGGUUGGGGAGGCUGGGUUAGCCACUGUGAAGCACAACCUGAUAUGGGUUUUCUGGGCUGUGGGUGCUCUGACCAUACCUGAAUCUAAACCCAGGAUAGGUGCUUUUCAAACCAAAUAUCCUUGUUGUCCAUCACUGAAACUGAAGCUGGGGGAGAGGUUAACACCCUCAAUCCUUGGUAGCUGAGAAGGUCCACCAAGGAAUGGACAAAUCAUUCUCUCUCUAGCUCAUGUCAGUUUUGCAUACAUUCAUCCCCAAAUCUAUCCCAUCCUGGGUUGUUGCCAAUGUGAGUCAUACUGAUGAGCAGACUGAUUCAAAUUAAUGCACAUGACUAAUUUGGGUUCAUUCGUUGCAAUGGAUCUGCUCUGGGUAGAUUUUUUUUUUUUUAAAGCAUGAAAGCCUGUAUUUAACAACAUCUUUUUUUUCUAUGUUCUCUCAAAAUCUGCAUCUCUAAAUGUAUUUUAUCUCAAAAUACUUUUUUCACACAAACAUAGGUUUAAAAAGCAAUUUUUGUUUUUGAACCAAGAACUGUGCUGAACACCACGAAGUGCAAAACUGGUUGGGUAACUUAAAUUCUGAUGUUUGGACUGGGAGAUCUGGACCAGGUCAGUCAAGCGACCUCUAUUAUUAUUUUUUAUAAGAUAUUUAUUAAGAUUUUCAAAAUAUUACAAAAUU
rnacentral:lncRNA from 1 species